GCCAGCAUGGUGUAGUGGGUUGAACGUCGGACUUUGACUCUGGUGGCCAGGGUUCGAAUCCUCGCUCAGCCA